GGAAAACUUCGACCAGGCAAGCUAAAAAGUACUGCAUCAAUCGUCACGCGCUUGCGCAUCAAGCUACAUGUAUCAUCGGCGCAUACUCAGCCACAGCCUGGCAUGGAGAUAGGUGAUGCUUCUAACACUAAAAUUUGCUGAAUAAACAUUGACCACAGGACAAGUCAACUGGUUACCUAAUGGCCAACUUGUUUGAUGCAAGGAGUAGUACAUGCAUGUACAUCUAAGAGGAUUGAUAUUCUAAUACAUCGAAAUAGAAUUAUUGAUAAUGAAGCCAGCUAUGAGAUAUAUCAGGAAUUUGAAGAAUUUGAUCGUCUUCUCCAUAGAAACUGUAGAAAACACCAGAAAGAGAUUGGUCAAAAAUGAAAAAAAUUAUUCCCAGAGUUUCUACAAAUAU